rnacentral:rRNA from 1 species
AGAGUUUGAUCAUGGCUCAGAACGAACGCUGGCGGCAGGCUUAACACAUGCAAGUCGAGCGCUCUCUUCGGAGGGAGCGGCGGACGGGUGAGUAACGCGUGGGAACGUGCCCCUUGGUGCGGAACAACAGCUGGAAACGGCUGCUAAUACCGCAUGAUGUCUACGGACCAAAGAUUUAUCGCCAAGGGAUCGGCCCGCGUCGGAUUAGGUAGUUGGUGGGGUAACGGCCCACCAAGCCGACGAUCCGUAGCUGGUUUGAGAGGAUGAUCAGCCACACUGGGACUGAGACACGGCCCAGACUCCUACGGGAGGCAGCAGUGGGGAAUCUUGGACAAUGGGGGCAACCCUGAUCCAGCCAUGCCGCGUGAGCGAUGAAGGCCCUAGGGUUGUAAAGCUCUUUCACCCGCGAAGAUAAUGACGGUAGCGGGAGAAGAAGCCCCGGCUAACUCCGUGCCAGCCGCCGCGGUAAUUC